CUACGGGACGCUGCAGUGGGGAAUAUUGCACAAUGGGGGAAACCCUGAUGCAGCAACGCCGCGUGGAGGAUGACACAUUUCGGUGCGUAAACUCCUUUUAUAGGUCAAGAUAAUGACGGUAGCCUAUGAAUAAGCGCCGGCUAACUCCGUGCCAGCAGCCGCGGUAAUACGGAGGGCGCAAGCGUUACUCGGAAUCACUGGGCGUAAAGAGCAUGUAGGCGGGUUAAUAAGUCAGAAGUGAAAUCCAAUAGCUUAACUAUUGAACUGCUUUUGAAACUGUUAACCUAGAGUGUGGGAGAGGUAGAUGGAAUUUCUGGUGUAGGGGUAAAAUCCGUAGAGAUCAGAAGGAAUACCGAUUGCGAAGGCGAUCUACUGGAACAUUACUGACGCUGAGAUGCGAAAGCGUGGGGAGCAAACAGGAUUAGAUACCCCUGUAGUC
rnacentral:rRNA from 1 species